rnacentral:rRNA from 1 species
UACGGAGGGUGCAAGCGUUAUCCGGAUUCACUGGGUUUAAAGGGUGCGUAGGCGGUUAGGUAAGUCCGUGGUGAAAUCCUGCAGCUUAACUGCAGAACUGCCGUGGAUACUAUCUAUCUUGAAUGUCGUGGAGGUUAGCGGAAUAUGUCAUGUAGCGGUGAAAUGCUUAGAUAUGACAUAGAACACCCAUUGCGAAGGCAGCUAACUACGCGAGAAUUGACGCUGAUGCACGAAAGCGUGGGGAUCAAACAGG